ensembl:snRNA U6 U6 spliceosomal RNA
GUGCUCACUUCAGCAGCACAUCAACUAUGGAAUGAAACAGAGAAGAUUGGCGUGGCUCUGCACAAGGAUGACAUGCAGAUUUGUGAAGAAUGCUUAAUAUAU